rnacentral:snRNA from 1 species
AGCUUUGCGCAGUGGCAGUAUUGUAGUCUUUGAAGUAUAUCCGAGGCGCGAUUGUUGCUAAUUGAAAACUUUACCCAAUACCCCGCCGCGACGACUUGAAAUAUAGUCGGUUCUGGCAAUUUUUGAGGGUUUUUACGGAGA